rnacentral:rRNA from 1 species
GACGAACGCUGGCGGCGUGCCUAACACAUGCAAGUCGAACGGAGUUAAGAAGGAGCUUGCUUCAUCUUAACUUAGUGGCGGACGGGUGAGUAACGCGUGAGUAACCUGCCUUUCAGAGGGGGAUAACGUCUGGAAACGGACGCUAAUACCGCAUGACAUUUCUGUGCCGCAUGACAUAGAAAUCAAAGGAGCAAUCCGCUGAGAGAUGGACUCGCGUCCGAUUAGCUAGUUGGUGAGAUAAAGGCCCACCAAGGCGACGAUCGGUAGCCGGACUGAGAGGUUGAACGGCCACAUUGGGACUGAGACACGGCCCAGACUCCUACGGGAGGCAGCAGUGGGGGAUAUUGCACAAUGGAGGAAACUCUGAUGCAGCAACGCCGCGUGAGGGAAGAAGGUCUUCGGAUUGUAAACCUUUGUCCUUGGUGAAGAAAAGAAUGACGGUAGCCAAGGAGGAAGCUCCGGCUAACUACGUGCCAGCAGCCGCGGUAAUACGUAGGGAGCAAGCGUUGUCCGGAUUUACUGGGUGUAAAGGGUGCGUAGGCGGCUCUGCAAGUCAGGCGUGAAAACCAUGGGCUUAACCCAUUGGAUUGCGUUUGAAACUGUGGAGCUUGAGUGAAGUAGAGGUAGGCGGAAUUCCCGGUGUAGCGGUGAAAUGCGUAGAGAUCGGGAGGAACACCAGUGGCGAAGGCGGCUUACUGGGCUUUAACUGACGCUGAGGCACGAAAGCAUGGGUAGCAAACAGGAUUAGAUACCCUGGUAGUCCAUGCCGUAAACGAUGAUUACUAGGUGUGGGGGGUCUGACCCCUUCCGUGCCGGAGUUAACACAAUAAGUAAUCCACCUGGGGAGUACGGCCGCAAGGUUGAACUCAA